UACGGGAGGCAGCAGUGGGGAAUAUUGCACAAUGGGCGCAAGCCUGAUGCAGCCAUGCCGCGUAUAUGAAGAAGGCCUUCGGGUUGUAAAGUACUUUCAGUCGUGAGGAAGGUGUUAAGGUUAAUAACCUUAGCAAUUGACGUUAGCGACAGAAGAAGCACCGGCUAACUCCGUGCCAGCAGCCGCGGUAAUACGGAGGGUGCGAGCGUUAAUCGGAAUUACUGGGCGUAAAGGGCACGCAGGCGGUUAAUUAAGUUGGAUGUGAAAUCCCCGGGCUUAACCUGGGAAUGGCAUUCAAGACUGGUUAGCUAGAGUCUUGUAGAGGGGGUAGAAUUCCAUGUGUAGCGGUGAAAUGCGUAGAGAUGUGGAGGAAUACCGGUGGCGAAGGCGGCCCCUGGGACAAAGGCUGACGCUCAUGUGCGAAAGCGUGGGGAGCAAACAGGGAUUAGAUACC
rnacentral:rRNA from 1 species